GUGUAUCCAUGGCGUUCAUCUCCUUCAGUAGCACCAACAGUCGACGGCUCCCAACUCUCACCUCUACUUCACAAGGUAUCUCUCUCUCGAUAGACCCAAGAUAUAUCUACGUAUAUACAUAUUUUUGUUUUGGGGUUUUGAUUUCAACAGUGUGGCUACCAAAACCGUAGAUAUCAAUUAUGAUGGAGGAUUGAAAUUAAGUCCUCCUGUUCGCUAAAUCAAUCACGAUUUGAAUUAGGAAGGUGUCGUUGGAAAAGUUAAUGGUGAUUAUUUUGUGGUGGUGCCAUGGUUAUAAACUUGUAAGCUUUCUUAAACUGUAGAAUUAUAUGCUUCAUGCCUUCAAAGUUCUUUUAGUACUUGUUUCCGGAGAGAGUACGUGGUCACUAAAACUUGUCAAACACGGUUGUGCAACUGUACGAGGGACUCAAUUUCUUGUGUUACUAUAGUGGAGGAAAAAUAAGAUAUAUAGUCACGUCGUCUUUCAUGGGCAAAUGGCGUUGAACUCUAGUCAUUAGUUUGGUUUUAUUCUUAAGUAACAGCUACAAGCAUUCUCAUUUUUCUUUGGCUAUUAGUAAUUAUUCUUCUAUAUUUGUUGUAAGUAGCUGGUGAUGUUCUAUUCGUCCCAUGUAUAUGCAACCAAUUGCAAGGUCAUUGGGAAACUUCAUGCAGGUAUGGUCUAAAUGUUUGAAGGACCAAACAAACUAGUAUUUGGUUGUGCAAUUUAGGCUCAUAUAUUGUGUAUGUACUCCUUUUGAGCAUGUCAACAUAUUUGGGCAUGACCCUAUCUAAGUCUUGAUUGUAUUCUCUUUUCAGAUAAUCUAGUGAAGGAUUGGGCUUUUGCUAAGCCAUUGGGUUUGUCUUUUUUAUGUUUGCCUUUUCUUGCUGAUCUAUUAGUGAUUGAGGUUUGAGUAGCAAGAAAUGAGAAUUUAAGCAACUUGUCAUAUCUGUUACUCGAUUUGACAAGUAUAUGUUUUGAUCACCAAUUUUUGCAAGUAUAUGUUCUUCUUUCCAAUGCUCUUUCAGCCUCAUUAAUCCUUGUUUUUCAAAAAAUGGAUGAACUUUGGAGAGCCUCAAAGUUAAAAUUAGGUUUAAAAAAAAUGUUAAGGAAAAGACAAGUGAAAGCUGAAUUGCAGAUUGGAGACAAAGAGCAAAAGAAGGUGCCGAUCCUCUUCCAUAUCCUAAGCCAAUUAAUUGCUUAGGAUGACCGAUUGAAACCCAAUGAUAGAUAUAAAGCUCGGCGAGCGGAUCCAUAAGACGAUAAUGUUGAUGUGCCUCUUGCUUGAAAUAAUGGUAGUGUAAGUCUCAAACUCUACAGUAACCAGAAGGUCUAACUUCCAUUAUACUCUUACUAGUUGAUAUUUGUCUUGAGAUUUUGUAUAGUAUGCAUUCUUAUACAUUAUACAUGAGUGAUAGAACUUUUGAUACUAAAGUUAUCUCAUAUCUUGUUGCAAGUAAAAAAUUACUCAUGAACUUUUAAAGGUGUGAGGGUGACUGAUUUUUUUUUAUUACGGGUUGCUUGUUAUAUAAUUUUUUUUAUUUAAAUAGUUAGAGAUAAUCUGUAAUGUGUGAUUGAAGUUUUUGAUUGUGAUUGUUCCAUCGAAAUGAAGAGAAUACGGGAGUUACAAAUUGCGUUUAGUCCAAAUAGGAUGGGGACGUGGGGGUGAGGAAAGGAGAAUUGGGCGAUGUCCAUGUAGUCUUAGUCAAGGAUUAUGAUGUGUCUCCAAUUGUUGUUGAUUCUUCUUAGAUGUGGUAGAUUGUGAAUUAUGAAUGCUCUUUUCAACUCCAAUAUUUGGAGGGUUAAGAGUUGAUCUCUGCUUGAUGGGUAUAGUUGUGGCUUGGCUGUUAUUAUUGAGAUUCAUCUACCGUGGUUAAGGGUAUUGAUAGGAGGCUGCGCAAAUUUUCCUAUUUUUAUAGAUUCGAGUUAUCCACUGUCACAUUUGUUCUCAACUCCUAAGAUUGGGAGGGUUUGAAGGAUUGGAGAUGCUAUGUAUUUCUGCUGGAUUUCUAAGGCUGAUGGAAUAUUGAUAUCUGUCAUUUUUGCUUUAAGCGGUGACUAAUCAAUGCUACAAGCCGGCUUGUGUUCUGAGUUAGGACCUGAGGAAGUGGUGAUCAUAGUUAUUUAGGAUUUAUCCGGGUUUUCUAGAUUGGUUCUUUGGGUCAUUGUAUCCUUGGGCUCAUUCAAUCUUCAUUGAAUGUAAUCUUUUUCUUUU